GAAUUAUGGUCAUCUGGGUCUAAAAGACAUCCACUUCUUUGUGUACUCACAGAAUGACAAAAUAACUUAUACCUGACCAAGAUGGCUGCCAUUUCCAGCACUUUCUAGAGUUAUGAAGGUUUAUGACAGGCCACUCUCUGUUUCUAGGUUAUUGUAUCUCCAUGUGUGUACUGAUUUGAUUGCUGGUUCUUCUUCACAGGUUGCCUAACAUUGGCAACACUUGCUUCCUAAAUGCCACCCUGCAGUGCCUCCUGGUCCUGCCUUCCUUCUCAAAGGAAAUCCUACGCCAGGAACAACUCUGGAACUCCUCCCCCUUCUCCAACCUGCUCAGUGGCGCAAACCAGGCCUCAAAAGCAGACCUCAUGUGGAAGGUCAAGUACUCCUUGUCGGGAUAUGAUUUGAAGUAUCUGGGGGACACGCAACAGGACGCACACGAGUUACUUGUGAAUAUGCUGUGCUGUGCCAGCUGAAGGAGGAGGGAAUGAUACUGAAGACACUCGGGGUGAACUAUACCUGCCCUGUUUCCCAGCUGGAGUUCCAGCUUGUCUCAGUGCGCACAUGUACCAGGGCGAAAAGGUUGAAUGAAUUCACAUGUGCGGGCUGCAAAGGCCUCUACAGCUCAAAAGUGGAGCAGUUCCACACACUGCCUCUUGUGCUGGUUCUGCACCUGAAGAGGUUCGGAGGACCUGGGGGGUUGGAGAAGCUGGAGACUCCUCUUUUGUUUCCUUAGAUAUUUAUAGACCCAUGAAUUAUGGUCAUCUGGGUCUAAAAGACAUCCACUUCUUUGUGUACUCACAGAAUGACAAAAUAACUUAUACCUGACCAAGAUGGCUGCCAUUUCCAGCACUUUCUAGAGUUAUGAAGGUUUAUGACAGGCCACUCUCUGUUUCUAGGUUAUUGUAUCUCCAUGUGUGUACUGAUUUGAUUGCUGGUUCUUCUUCACAGGUUGCCUAACAUUGGCAACACUUGCUUCCUAAAUGCCACCCUGCAGUGCCUCCUGGUCCUGCCUUC